UGUGUAGGCGGUUUGGUAAGUCUGGUGUGAAAUCUCCCGGCUCAACUGGGAGGGUGCACCGGAAACUGCCGGACUCGAGUGCGGGAGAGGAGAGUGGAAUUCCUGGUGUAGCGGUGAAAUGCGUAGAUAUCAGGAGGAACACCGGUGGUGUAGACGGCUCUCUGGACCGUAACUGACGCUGAAACACGAAAGCGUGGGUAGCAAACAGGAUUAGAUACCCUGGUAGUCCACGCCCUAAACGAUGCAUAUUUGGUGUGGGUCAUUCAGUUGAUCCGUGCCGGAGCUAACGCGUUAAAUAUGCCGCCUGGGGAGUACAGUCGCAAGGCUGAA
rnacentral:rRNA from 1 species